GUGCUAGCUUCUACAGCACAUACACUAAAAUUGGAAUGAUACAGAGAAGAUUAGCAUGGCCCCUGCUGCCCAAGGAUGACACGCAAAUACAUAUUAAUAUUAUAUUA